CAACUUUCAACAACGGAUCUCUUGGCUCUCGCGUCGAUGAAGAACGCAGCGAAAUGCGAUACGUAAUGUGAAUUGCAGAAUUCAGUGAAUCAUCGAAUCUUUGAACGCACCUUGCGCCCCUUGGCGUUCCGAGGGGCGCACCCGUUUG
rnacentral:rRNA from 1 species